GCGGCGGCGGCGGCGGCGGCAGCGGAGGAGUCAACGGUGAGGAUGGGAAGGAGAAAUCGGUCGUGGAUGGAGCCGAGGAGGCUUCAGGGGUGUCACCUCCGAUGUCAUAAUUCUCGACGUCGGAGGAAUGACUCGUGGGGAUGUGCAGCGAGUGUGAAGAGAAUUUGGGAAAAUCAAGUAUCCGCCGCAAGGGUCAAUCUUACAACUGAGACAGCAAUUGUAUGGCCUGUUUCUGAAGCCAAGGCUAUGCCUAAUUGGCAAAAGGAGUUGGGGAUAAACACUUGCAAAUCACUCAGACAAAUUGUGGCUUAAGUCUAACCACAAGUAUCUGCCACCAGCGUCAAUCUGACAACCGGGAUAGCAGUUGUAUGGCCAGUAUCUGAAGCCAAGGAUGGCAAAAAGUGUUGGGAGAAACACUUGCAGAAGACUUGACAAAUUUUGCCUUUAUGUCUAACCCUCGACAUAAGUAGUUUUAUUCACCAUCUGCUUG